AUUGAGACAGCUACGAAUUGUAUUCGGUAAUCUUGCUAUCAAUAUUUAUGUCUAUCAGCAAGGUUGUUUAGUCUAUUCCGCAUUUAAUUACCGUUUUGUCAGGUUGGGAAUUUUUAAUUUUUUAAAGCUAUUAGAAUUUGCAUUCUAUUUAUCAUUUCGUUCUAUAAAAAUAUUUAUUUCUGAUCAGACUAGUUGAGAUAGUUAUUUCAAAUUAAAUCAAGAACUUAAAAGUGAUAAAGCUUGAAACUGAUAGAGAAAUUAUUGUUUCAAUUCAGCAGCAUCAUCAAGGCCUUAAAAGACGUCAUCGCCUAAGGAAAGGUUCUCAGCAAUAAAUUCACACGCACGCUGUUUCCUGCUUCCUGGUUGUCGCUUCCUUGUCCCUUCAAAUUUCUCGCUUCCUUAUAUUCACUUCCCAUCUACUGUCGCUUCCACGUUGGAAAGACCUUAGAAUCAAAGAUACAGUCUUGUUUGUGAACCUCGACCUAACGCGCGAUGCUUCGGUACAACGUAAUUGACAGUCACAGUUUCUGUGAUCAUGAAACCAAAUUCAAAUAUACAUUGAAAGUGAAACUAAAACAUCGACAUUUGCGUGAUUUGAAGCAAAGCCUUGCUCUCGAAACUCUCGUACGGCUUCCCAUUUUUCUUCGAGCCGAUGCACCAGUUUACAGUUCGAAGCGUUAUUACGCCCUCCGCUACCAAAGCGAUCUUGGUUUACAAGGGAAUUGAAGCGAUUACUCGGCACUCCAGCUACACUUCUGAAGUGAAGAUACACGAUGAAGAAUUACUGGCACUCCGUUUGGAGCGUCUUGACCAAAUGUCGCCUUAGCGGUGUCGAAAGAGUUUGUAGAACCGUCAAAACCGAUUUGGCAAGUGCUAAUAUGUGAGGUUUCUAUUACUGGAAAGCAGACUACAAUUUUAUUGCUCCAUUCUUCGCAACCUAUUUGACGAGGGAAAGAUUAUUCAAGACAUGCAAACUGGAUCGCUUGAUUUGCGGCCGCGUUGUUGAAGAGUGCCGUUGCAGUCGAAUGUUUCUAUCAUUUCAGACCUUAUUACCAAGUGAUAAUGAAGUCGAUCUUUUUCACCUCGUAUGUGUUAUCGGCAGACGAACAAGCACGAUCUUUGUGGCUAUGGCGGCUGUCUUGAAGGAAGUGGAUCGUAAUUAUGACUCUACGAUUGACCUCAAGGAUCUUUGUGGGGUUAACAACAAUCGUUGUUUGCGCUUUUUCUUGGCUGGUAGCAACUGCCUUACUCGCUCUAAAUGGUGUACUCCUAAUAAAAAUAAUACCAGCUGAGAGACCGGCAACCAUUUCGAGGAACGGCUGGAAACGUUUUCUGCGAUUGUGCUUUUUGUGUAGCGUCAUUAUCACAGUGGCAGGGCUAGUGCUUUGGCGACGUAGCGCCAACCGUGGCCACUCGUCAUCAAGGGACAGUGGAUAAUGUAGUCCCGCCAAGAUCUGUUGAGAGUCUCAAGCCAAAGGAGCUCAGUCACGAAAGCGCGAACAGAUGAAAAAGAAAGUAAAAGCUUCCAACUAUGUCAAAAUCGAAAAGUUACUUGUCCAUGGCACGACACCAGACACCAGAACUUUGAUCACAGGAUGCGAGGGAAAAACGGAACAGUGCGUGUACGAUGAAGGCAGCUACUUUGCUGUGAAGGCCUCGAACAGUAAUAACUACAGCAGCCAAAGUGGAGAGAAAACGAGGUUCAUGUUCCUCGUUUUUGUGCUAACGCGAGAGUGCAGGCUUGGGGAACAUGACCUUCGUCGAACCCCUCNUCGAC